AGGGAGAAAGGGUUCCAUUUUGUCCACAGCUCAAGGAUGCUGUCCAUCAAGGCAGGAACAUCACAGAGAUGGCAUCAUGAGGCAGCUGCAGAGGGAAGCUAGUGCGGGCGCUUAGUCAGGGAGGAGACCCAGAACUAAAUCAGACAAUGUGGCCAGGAGGAGACAGGGGACAGCAGACACAGCUGCCUUCACGACUGCACCCCUUCCGGGGGAGAGCUGGGUUCCUGGAACAGAAGCCUUAAACAAUUGAAGGACCAGGCUCCAGGCCCAGACUGGAUCUUACUAGUCAGCUAUUGGGCAACGACAACACUGACGUCCCUUUGCCCUUUCAUCGGGCCUCUGAGAAAGCCUUGAGGCCAUCGGGCUCCCAACACCCAGGAACUGGAGUUAUGGGUGGUGCCGAGGCCCCAUGAGGGGGAUCUGCUGGAAACCAAAAACAGGUACCGUUAGAGCACCAAGCACUCUUAACUGCUGAGCCCUCUCUGCAGCCCCUCCACAUAGGAUCAUUUUAGGGGCAUUUGGGUAGUUUCCUGUUAGAGUUCAACAGACAGUUAGCUCAUGUUCGAGAUAUUUCUCUAAGAAAAGAGCAAAGUGAUGACUACAGAACUCUUAUAAUAACAUGUAAAAAUUACAGGAAAUAAGAGAAAUUUAUUAAAAAGAGAAGAAGAAAGAUCAGUCUUGUGAAAUAAAACAUUACUCAUACAUUAGAAAUAAUAAAGGAAUAUAAGCAUCUUGCUGUAUUAUCCCAUGCAAGUAUUGGGACAUUCAUUAAAUUAAAUCGAAUUAAAUUAAAUAUGGUGGUAAGCAUUA